UACGUAGGAGGCGAGCGUUGUCCGGAAUUACUGGGCGUAAAGAGCUCGUAGGCGGCCUGUUGCGUCCGCUGUGAAAGCCCCGGGGGCUUAACCCCGGGUCGGCAGUGGAUACGGGCAGGCUAGAGGUAGGUAGGGAGAAUGGAAUUCCCGGUGUAGCGGUGAAAUGCGCAGAUAUCGGGAGGAACACCGGUGGCGAAGGCGGUUCUCUGGGCCUUACCUGACGCUGAGGAGCGAAAGCGUGGGGAGCGAACGGG
rnacentral:rRNA from 1 species